rnacentral:rRNA from 1 species
AUUAUUAAGCGGAGGAAAAGGAACAAACUUGGAUUCUCCCAGUAACGGCGAGUGAAGUGGGAAGUGCUCAGCGCUGAAUCCCCCGGCCUAACAGCCGACGGGAACUGUAGCGUUCGGGCCGGACCCUGCGUCUGCCUACCACGGCCAAAGUCCUCCUGAUCGGGGCUUGUCCUAGAGCUGGUGUCAGGCCCAUAUGGCUGUGGCGGGUGGCGCGCUGUUCGGCCCAAGAGUCGGGUUGUUUGGGAAUGCAGCCCAAAGCAGGUGGUAAACUCCAUCUAAGGCGAAAUACAGGCACGAGUCCGAUAGCGGACAAGUACCGUGAGGGAAAGUU